rnacentral:rRNA from 1 species
GACGGGGCCCGCACAAGCGGAGGAACAUGUGGUUUAAUUCGAUGAUACGCGAGGAACCUUACCUGGGCUUAAAUGUAGAGUGCAUUUUUUAGAGAUAGAAAUUCCCUUCGGGGCUUUCUGCAAGGUGCUGCAUGGUUGUCGUCAGCUCGUGCCGUGAGGUGUCGGGUUAAGUCCCAUAACGAGCGCAACCCUUAUCGUUAGUUGCCAUCUGGUAAUGCAGGGGACUCUAGCGAAACUGCCACCGUAAGGUGAGAGGAAGGUGGGGAUGACGUCAAAUCAGCACGGCCCUUAUGUCCAGGGCUACACACGUGUUACAAUGGUCGGUACAGAGGGCAGCUACCUGGUGACAGGAUGCUAAUCUCGAAAACCGGUCUCAGUUCGGAUCGAAGUCUGCAACUCGACUUCGUGAAGCUGGAUUCGCUAGUAAUCGCGCAUCAGCUAUGGCGCGGUGAAUACGUUCCCGGGCCUU